rnacentral:rRNA from 1 species
CCUACGGAGGCAGCAGUGGGGAUCUUGCACAAUGGAGGAAACUCUGAUGCAGCGAUGCUGCGUGAGUGAAGAAGGCCCUUGGGUUGUAAAGCUCUUUCGUCGGGGAAGAAAAUGACUGUACCCGAAUAAGAAGGUCCGGCUAACUUCGUGCCAGCAGCCGCGGUAA